rnacentral:lncRNA from 1 species
UCCCAUAUAAAUUUAUAUCUCAAAGAUUGAAGUUGAACAUAAUCUUAUGUAUCUAAGUUAAGUGAAGGCAUUAGAGUGACAUCAAAAACAUCAUUUUGAGAACGUGUAACAUUAAUGAUUGAACCAAUUGCGCCAUUCUCAUAAGCAAAUUCUUCGCCCCAUGGAUCUCCACACAACACAAGCUUACCACUCACCAUAUUUUUGUCUGCGUAAUCACACCUUUCAGGUGAUUCAUAUUUACCAAGGUGCUAUACUAGAAAUACUACUUGGGUCAGUACCAUAUAUAAUUUCCCGCCGCCUGCACUAUGAGUAUCCCUUUCUCCAUGGCAUU